rnacentral:rRNA from 1 species
UACGGAGGAUCCAAGCGUUAUCCGGAAUCAUUGGGUUUAAAGGGUCCGUAGGCGGUUUUGUAAGUCAGGGGUGAAAGCCCAUCGCUCAACGGUGGAACGGCCAUUGAUACUGCAAGACUUGAAUUAUUGGGAAGUAACUAGAAUAUGUAGUGUAGCGGUGAAAUGCUUAGAGAUUACAUGGAAUACCAAUUGCGAAGGCAGGUUACUAACAAUAUAUUGACGCUGAUGGACGAAAGCGUGGGGAGCGAACAGG